GACGAACGCUGGCGGCGCGCCUAACACAUGCAAGUCGAACGGAGCUGAGAGAAGCUUGCUUUUCUUAGCUUAGUGGCGAACGGGUGAGUAACGCGUGAGUAACCUGCUCUGGAGUGGGGGACAACAGUUGGAAACGACUGCUAAUACCGCAUAAGCCCACGAUCCGGCAUCGGAUUGAGGGAAAAGGAUUUAUUCGCUUCAGGAUGGACUCGCGUCCACUUAGCGAGUUGGUGAGGUAACGGCCCAGCAAGGCGACGAAUGGUAGCCGGACGGAGAGGUUGAACGGCCACAUUGGGAAUGAGACACGGACCAGACUCCUACGGAGGGCAGCAGUAGGGGAUAUUGCACAAUGGGGGAAACCCUGAUGCAGCGGCGCGGCGUAGAGGAAGAAGGUGUUCGGAUUGUAAACUCCUGUCGUUAGGGACGAUAAUGACGGUACCUAACAAGAAAGCACCGGCUAACUACGUG
rnacentral:rRNA from 1 species